rnacentral:lncRNA from 1 species
GCCUCUGCCUCUCAAAGUGCUGGGAUCACAGGCGUGAGCCACCGCCCCCCGACGCCUCAGCUCAUUUGUUAAUUAGCAGUAAUUGCCCGGGUCAGUGACACCUCCUACUUGAGCCUCUUUCCCUGUCCAUAAAAUGCACUAAUACUGGGGUGGGUGGGAUUGGGAGGUGGGUCCUGGAGCUCCAUCCAAUCAGUGGCACUGGUGUAGGAACCGCCCGAUCAGGCGCGCAGUUGGAGAGGAGGGCGUGGCUUCCGGCAUUUGGCGGGGUCUUUGUCUCUCGCUCCCGCCAGAGCUUGGGAUCGGUCUUCACUGUUCCGCGUCCUCUACCUGGGAACCACCGACCCCCGCCCGGCGACUUUGUCACAGACUCUGUUGCCCUGUGAUCUGCAGGUCCUGGGAGACGCACAGCCAAGAUGCCAGGGCACCCUGGAAGCUGUGAAGUGUUCAGAUGCAUAAUCUCAUCCCUGAACAUCCUGCUGGUGCGAUUAUGACAUAUGAUUUUACCCAGCACCAGAGGGAUUUGAUGCUCCUGCCUGGGCCCAACUCACAGAAGGGAUUGUGACAUAUCACUGGACCCAGCACUGAGGGGACAUUGUGUAAUAUCGUUGGGCCUCACACGUACGUUAUGUGACUCUCCUGCGUGUGCCCUGUCCAUGUGGGCCAUUGUGACAUAUUGCUGGGUCCAACAACUGGUUGAUGUAGCUCUACUGCCUAGGUCCUGCCUAUGGAGGACUUUGUGAUGUAUCCCUGAACCCAUCACACAGAUUCUGCCCUCAGAGGACAUUGUGACAUGUCACUGGGCCUAAUACUAAGAUGACAUCAUUCUUUAGUUUUGGCACUGCCCUCAGAAGCCGUGGUGGUGUAUUGCUGGGCCCAGAGCCAAUGUGAUGUGAGUCUCCUGCCUGGAUCCUGCCUACAAGGUGCAUUGUGACAUACCUCUGGGCCCUUUGACUAUUUUAUGUGACUCUCCUCUCUUACCUGGAUGUUGCCCAAAAAGAGAUUGUGACAUACUUUGCACCCAGCACUGAGGUGAUUUGACUGUCCUCUUCUGCCUGUGCUUUGCCUACAGGAGAGAGAGUGACUUAUUACUGAGUUUAGCAUACACAUGAUGUGAUUUUCCUCCACUCACAGAAGUCAUUGUGACAUAUAUCUUGGCCCAUCACUGAGAUUGUGACUGUCUUUUUCCUGGGACCUGUCCACAGUGGAGAGUAUGACACUUUUUGGCCAAGCACCUACAAGAUACGACUCUCUUCUUACACCUGGGCCACUGGGGUGAUUUUGACAUGUAGUUGGCCCCAGCUCCAAGAUUAUGUGACUCCACACUUCUUCCUGAGCCCUACCUACAGGUAGCAUUGUGUCAUAUCUGUGAGACCCUCAAUUAGGUGAAAUGACUCUUUGUUUGGGCCCUCUUCUCAAGGUACCGUGACAUUGCUGGGCCCAGCAUCUAGGUGAUGUAACUCUACUGUACUGUUUGGUUUCUGCCUAAAAAGGGAUUGUGACAUACCACUCUAUCAAGAACCUAGGUGAGGUGACUCCUCUCCAGCCUGGGACCUGCAUACAUUGCUUAUUGACACAUAUCACUGGCUCCAGCACCUAGGUUAUGUGAAUCCUCUUCUUCCCAGAUCCUGCCAAAAGGAAAGAUUGUGACAUAUCACUGGAACCAGCACUUAGGCUAUUGUGACAUAUGCCUGAGGCUAACACCCAGAUGAUAUAAGUCUUCAUCCUGGACCCUGUCUACAGAAGUCAUUGCGAUAUAUGUCUUCACCAAUCACUGAGGUCGAACGCCCAGUGAUGUGACUCUCCUUCCUGGUCCAUGCCCUCAGGGAAGAUUGUGACAUACCCCGGCCCAGCACACAGUUAAUGUCACUCUUGUGCUUGCUGUCUACCCAUGGGUAGGAUUGUGACAUAUAUCGUGGCCAAGCACAAAGAUGUAAUGACUGUCAUACCUCGAAGAAAGCAAUAGAGUUAAUGUUGCUCCUAGGAGAAGGCUGUAACAUAUUCCUGGUUGAGUAUUCAGGUGAUGUGACACUCCUGUUUGGUCCCUGCCUUCAGAAAAGAUUGUGAUGUACUCCUGGCCAAAAACCCAGGUGAUGUGACUCUUAUCUCUCCCUAUUCACAGGUAAGAUUGUAAAAUGCCUUGGUCUAGCUCACAGGUGUGAUGAUGUUGAUCCUUUUUUUUUUUUUAUUUUAUUUAUUUUUUUUAUUUUUGGAGAUGGAGUUGCUCUGUCG